UUCUGGCCAUCAAAGCAGUACAGGAUCACAACAGUGCUACUUCUAAAGGAAGGGAGCCCGCGUGUGCAGGCUCAGGGAAUGAAGCCACAGGGAGAGAGAGGACAAGGAAAAAGGCAACUGUAGGAGGGUGGAAGGCUUGCCUCACCCUGAGGAAACCUCACAUUCACAGCUUCCAGUGAUCUAAGGCAGCAGCCUCACAGAUCCCUGCACGGAGCCUGCACAGUGCGGUCCUCAAUGCUCAGGGGCAGAAGUAACCACGCAUCCUCCAAAAAUGUCUUCUUGGGGAUGUUGGGAUGGAGAACUCAACCUAGUAAAUACCCACACUGGUGACAUCACUGUCUGGUUAACUGGCUACUAGCAAACUCCACGGCUGGAAGGGGUAACAAGGAGCCCAGAGCAAGAUUCCAGUAUCUAGAGUUAUUGUUCAAAACCACAGCUCAGUUCCCCAAAUCUCUCAGCGCUGUUUUCCUCUCCCCCAUUCUGGUCCAGGCUCAGUCCUUCCACCUCUCCCCACAAGGUACUCAUUUGGUAAGCUCCUCCUGGCUUCUGCUUCUUCCAAUCAAAAUUCAUUUUCAAUCUCUCUGCCUCGCACAAGAAUUCAUUCACCAAUUUUUAGGCACCCACUAU
ensembl:sense_intronic Gm15898 predicted gene 15898